CGGCGGCCGGGGAGAGUGCAUCGAGACCGCUUAUAGAGAAUCAGCCGCGGGACCCGCGGCAAAGUGUGCGGCGCGUCGUGGCGCGGCGGCCCGGAGACCAGUCCCGACCGGGAGACAGCUUGUAUCACCAGACUGUGGAAAGACAAUUUUCUGACCUGAACAGGAUGAAGGAGACAUGAUAAUUGUCUGGUGUGAGCAACAGGAGCUAUCACCCAAGGCCUGUGGCUGGCAUGCUUUGCCCCCCAGGCAAAUGAAGAAAAUGAAGGGAACAGAUACCAAAUGGGAUGGUGUUGGGCUGGAGGAAGAAAGGGAAGAUGACCCCCUGAAAGGCCUGGGCAGCGAUAGAGCUCUCAGAUGAUCCUUACUGCCGUGUGUUGCCCUGAAUUGUCUGACACUGUCUUUAAUUGUGUCUGUACUCAAUAACCUGUGUACUCCCAUUUGCCAAAUGCUGCUCUGCCAAAGCAUCCUCAAAUAAAC